rnacentral:misc_RNA from 1 species
GAAGAACAUGUCCUUCCCCAAUUCCCAAAUCAUGCAUUUCUUAAAUCCAAUCAUAUAGCUGUACAAACUCAAGCUUUUGAUUCUCAUUCUUAAUUUCCAUAUCCUGUAUUUCUUAAACCCAACCACACAGCCAUCAUAACCAUCUAAUCUUAAAUCAAUAAUAGGAUAUUCCUUUCACUACGUCCUUGACGCAAAGAAUAAAGAAACAUUCAUAGAGUUCGUAAAUAUUGAAUAAGUCUAACCGUUGCUAAAUAAUUAAACCAAAUUAAAAUUACAACUUAACUUAUCAUGCUGACGUCGUUUAUGCUCAAAAUAUCUCAUCCAUCUUUAUUUUCUCAUUAUUACCUUACCCAUUCUAAUCUUCUCAAUUUUCUACAACACACAAGUGAAGAUGAGUUAUUUGAAAUUUCUUCUCUGCAAUUUAUCCAUUCUUGAAAUAAAUAGAAAAGCAAUAGAAGAUUAACACAAAAGAUUUUGUGGGUUGGUUUUGAUUCGGGGAUUUUUGUGGAUUUUGCUGAUUUGGGUUAGCCACAAGUUUUUUUGGAUUCCAACUUCAAUGCUGGCUUAGGAGAUUUUGGGCUGGCUCAUGCCUUAGAAUGAGAAAAUCUCCUAUGCAAAGCUCAAAGGAAUGCCUGGAAUAAUGGGCUACAUUGUCCCUGGAUGCUUUAAUAUUGGCAAAGCUACCUGUAAGCCCGAUGUCUAUGGAUUCAGUGCGAUGGUUCCUGUCUUUCUGAGGUGGUGUGAGGGCAAUGGCCUAGGACCAAGAUUGCUAGCUUCCAGUUCCUAUUGGAAUGGGUGUGGUGGUUGCAUUGAGAAGGGUGCAUGCUUGAGUACUAGGCAAUUAUUUCAGUGUGAAAUUUCUAACACCCCCUCGUUAUAGUUGUCAUUUAAUAAUUAAUAUUUUUAUUAUAUACGAGCUAAAAUAUAUA